ACACAACAUAGGAAGGAAGGAGCCCAGCAGCGCCCAGUUUGCAGGACAAGAAGCUAAUUGACCGGGAAUGUCUGCUGCAUAAGCUAUAAACCUCCAGAAGAAGCUGCAAGUGUUCCUCAGGACCCAGAGUUUGCAGAUCCAAGUUCCAAUCUCCACCCUCCCUGAAGAACAAUGUCACCAAGUUCCUCGUUUACAAGGGCUUUCCUUUUCCCUCACACCAUCCUGCUCCAGCAUCAUGGAAAGCACACAGAAGAGAUUUUUAAGCCUCUGAAUUUAACACAGAUGUGAGCCUAUUACUUCAUCUGUGAUACUCAGGAAAUGCCAGGCAGAGGCCCCUUGCUAAGCAAGAGAUGCAGACAGACAAUCGGAAGGUGCAGUUCCCCCGCUGAGAACUCGCAUGCUAGUUGAAGUGAGACUAUACAGGCUGAGUGACAAGGCCAGGUAAGGCAGAUGUCACUGGAGAUAAUUAAGUGUUAUUAUUCGACUCACUUAAUUCUUCCGCAAGAAACUCCACUGGGUUCUACCCAGAAGGUUCGCAGCCAGCAAAACAAUAACAAGAGAUCAGUUGAAUGGUACCUCCCAGCCCCACCAAGGGGAUUCUUGGAGACAGAGUUGAGAAGAACUCCCUCCUGGGCUUUAGUUACUCUAUGAAUUUAAGCUAUGGGGAUAGCUACAGCCCAAAGGAAAUUCCGCCUGCAGUGACAGGAGACCUUGCUUCAGACUUCGAAGUGCAUUCUAUAAGGAAACACUGAGGAGCUGGGACCUGAAUCAGGAACCUCUAGGGUAUGACCCCAGGAAACCUGAACACCAACUGCUUGGCAGUAAGAAUAAUGGGUUUUUAUCUGCCAGGUCCAGCACUAACCCUUUAAACAAAUUUUCUUCCAGUUCAUGCUCAGAGCAGCCCUACAGGAAAAAUAAUUUCUUUAUCUCUCUUGUAUGACAUCAAGUGAUGAGCCUCAAGUUUGAGCAGUUGAGAAGGGAAACACGCUCUGAACCCAUGCUAAUUUUUAUCCCAUCUCGAUCGCUUGUUUGUUUGGGCUGUGUCCAAUUCACAUUCAUAAUGUCUUGAAAAUCACACAUAUACUGUUCUUUGCCAAAGAACCAGAGAUACUACGGAUCCCCAUACUCUGGGAGUUCACAGAGAACAGAAAAAAAAUGUAAUCCAACAUAUAAUGCCCACCUGCUUUAAUUUCAAGUUCUUCUGCAAGUAUUUUCUCCACCAAGGCUUUGUGUACUUAAAAAAUGUAUGACAGAAGUCUAGAAUAGCCCAGAUAGCUCCAAUAAUUCACACAUACAUUCAUUCAUACAUACAAUACAUACAUGCAUGCACACAUACAUACAUACUCACUCGCUCAGGGGGUGUGGCCAACUGUCCUACUUAGCCCUACAACUCUGUUUUUAACUACAUUCUGUAUAUAUGAAAUGUAAGAUAAGGUUAUAAAAUUAUCUUUGUGCGUAUGGUGAUCCAAUUUCCUAGCAGUGUUUGUAAAGACUACUGAAUUAAACUCUACAACUUCUGAA